rnacentral:rRNA from 1 species
ACCCGCUGAAUUUAAGCAUAUCAAUAAGCGGAGGAAAAGAAACCAACAGGGAUUGCCCCAGUAACGGCGAGUGAAGCGGCAACAGCUCAAAUUUGAAAUCUGGCCCCCCGGCCCGAGUUGUAAUUUGCAGAGGAUGCUUUUGGUGAGGCACCUACCGAGUCCCCUGGAAUGGGGCGCCAUAGAGGGUGAGAGCCCCGUAUGGUAGGACGCCGAACCUCUGUAAAGCUCCUUCGACGAGUCGAGUAGUUUGGGAAUGCUGCUCUAAAUGGGAGGUAAAUUUCUUCUAAAGCUAAAUACCGGCCAGAGACCGAUAGCGCACAAGUAGAGUGAUCGAAAGAUGAAAAGCACUUUGAAAAGAGGGUUAAAAAGUACGUGAAAUUGUUGAAAGGGAAGCGCUUGUGACCAGACUUGCGCCGGGCGGAUCAUCCAGCGUUCUCGCUGGUGCACUCCGCCCGGUUCAGGCCAGCAUCGGUUUUCGCCGGGGGACAAAGGCUUCGGGAACGUGGCUCCUUUCGGGGAGUGUUAUAGCCCGUUGCGUAAUACCCCGGCGGGGACCGACGACCGCGCUUCGGCAAGGAUGCUGGCGUAAUGGUCAUCAGCGACCCGUCUUGAAACACGGACCAAGGAG